AAGCCAAGCAAAGAAUUUAGUCUACGUCGUUGAUAGCUGAAAAUGGCAGCAACAAACUCCUUCGCAUUACCCAACCAGCAUCAGGAUGACUUCGAUGAUGAUUAUGAUAUCAAAGACAACUAUUAUCCUCUCGAGCAACAGCGUGAAGAUUUAAAGAAGAUUUUGGAUUCACCAGAAUGCAAGAAAUUGUUGGAGGAAUUUCUUGAGAAAUUGGACUCAAUUCAGGAUGAAACCUGAUCUGCGUGAGAGGAACCGAUUCCAGGAUAUGAGGACUUGAUCAUCCAUUUGAAAGUAGCAAAAAUUGCACUGAAUAUAAUCAACUUAAAUAAAAUAAAUAUCCGUAUUUACCGUACAAUAUAACCAUUACAAUACAAUAUAACCAAUAUAAUUACACCGAUUAAGUUUCUGGAUUGCGUAUACUUAAUAUGCAUGAAACAUUUUUGCAAUCAGUAAUUAAUUUAGACAAGUAAAUAGAUAUAUAAGAAAUAAACAAAUAAAAUAAAUAAAGACGCU